UUCCUUUAGUAGCGGCGAGCGAAACAGGAAAAGCCCAUCACUAAGCCCUCCGGUCGUUCUGGCCGGCAGGGGAUGCAGUGUAUGGAAAGUCUAUUAUCUUAUGCGACGGCAAUACGUUCAAGUCCAUCUUGAAUGGGGCCAUUAUACCCAUAGAGGGUGCCAGGCCCGUAGCAGCUAUUGCCAGUAUAAGAAGAUUUUUCCGAAGAGUCGUGUUGCUUGAUAGUGCAGCACUAAGUUGGUGGUAAACUCCAUCUAAGGCUAAAUAUAACCAUGAGACCGAUAGCGAACAAGUACCGUGAGGGAAAGUUGAAAAGUACUCUGAAUAGAGAGUUAAAUAGUACGUGAAACCGCUUAGGGGUUAAGCCCGAUGAACCUGAAUAUCUGAAUUGAGAAAUUCAAUAUUGUGUUUUCAAUUAUAUAUUUAUAUUUAAUUGGAUAACUGGUAUGCACUUUUCUCAUAGUAAGACAUUGCGAUCCAUUAGUAUAUAUGCGUAUGCAUUUAAAUUUAUCAAACGGCCUGUCAUGUAUAGCUUGUUCUAUCUGUGAUAAUUUCUAAUUGUCAUAUGAACAAAUGCAUUGCGGUGACCUGAUAAAUAGCUGAUGGAGCUUAACAAUCAUGCCAACAUACAUGUUUAUGUAUCACGAUUUUUGUGAUUUUUCAUUUAAAUGCAGUGAUAGCAUGUAUUUGAUUAGCAAUGCGAUAGAUUUGGGAUACCUUCGGGACCCGUCUUGAAACACGGACCAAGAAGUCUAACAUGUGUGCAAGUCAUUGGGUAUUUUGUUGAAACCUAAAGGCGCAAUUAAAAUAACUAUAAUGGGAUUACAAGUGAUUUUUUUACCAGGAUUGCUUCUCCAUCCCCGGGGCGUUCUAUACGAACAUGAUUUAAGCAAUUAGAUCCUCUGUUCAGAGCGUACCUUGAGCAUACAUGCUGUGACCGAAAGAUGGUGAACUAUACCUGAUCAGGUUGA
rnacentral:rRNA from 1 species